rnacentral:rRNA from 1 species
AGUGAACGCUGGCGGUAGGCCUAACACAUGCAAGUCGAACGGCUGCACAGGAGAGCUUGCUCUCUGGGUGGCGAGUGGCGGACGGGUGAGGAAUACAUCGGAAUCUACUCUGUCGUGGGGGAUAACGUAGGGAAACUUACGCUAAUACCGCAUACGACCUACGGGUGAAAGCAGGGGAUCUUCGGACCUUGCGCGAUUGAAUGAGCCGAUGUCGGAUGAGCUAGUUGGCGGGGUAAAGGCCCACCAAGGCGACGAUCCGUAGCUGGUCUGAGAGGAUGAUCAGCCACACUGGAACUGAGGCACGGUCCAGACUCCUACGGGAGGCAGCAGUGGGGGAAUAUUGGACAAUGGGCGCAAGCCUGAUCCAGCCAUACCGCGUGGGUGAAGAAGGCCUUCGGGUUGUAAAGCCCUUUUGUUGGGAAAGAAAUCCAGCUGGCUAAUACCCGGUUGGGAUGACGGUACCCAAAGAAUAAGCACCGGCUAACUUCGUGCCAGCCGCCGCGGUAA